rnacentral:rRNA from 1 species
GAUGAACGCUGGCGGCGUGCCUAAUACAUGCAAGUCGAGCGAACGGACGAGAAGCUUGCUUCUCUGAUGUUAGCGGCGGACGGGUGAGUAACACGUGGAUAACCUACCUAUAAGACUGGGAUAACUUCGGGAAACCGGAGCUAAUACCGGAUAAUAUUUUGAACCGCAUGGUUCAAAAGUGAAAGACGGUCUUGCUGUCACUUAUAGAUGGAUCCGCGCUGCAUUAGCUAGUUGGUAAGGUAACGGCUUACCAAGGCAACGAUGCAUAGCCGACCUGAGAGGGUGAUCGGCCACACUGGAACUGAGACACGGUCCAGACUCCUACGGGAGGCAGCAGUAGGGAAUCUUCCGCAAUGGGCGAAAGCCUGACGGAGCAACGCCGCGUGAGUGAUGAAGGUCUUCGGAUCGUAAAACUCUGUUAUUAGGGAAGAACAUAUGUGUAAGUAACUGUGCACAUCUUGACGGUACCUAAUCAGAAAGCCACGGCUAACUACGUGCCAGCAGCCGCGGUAAUACGUAGGUGGCAAGCGUUUUCCGGAAUUAUUGGGCGUAAGCGCGCGUAGGCGGUUUUUUAAGUCUGAUGUGAAAGCCCACGGCUCAACCGUGGAGGGUCAUUGGAAACUGGAAAACUUGAGUGCAGAAGAGGAAAGUGGAAUUCCAUGUGUAGCGGUGAAAUGCGCAGAGAUAUGGAGGAACACCAGUGGCGAAGGCGACUUUCUGGUCUGUAACUGACGCUGAUGUGCGAAAGCGUGGGGAUCAAACAGGAUUAGAUACCCUGGUAGUCCACGCCGUAAACGAUGAGUGCUAAGUGUUAGGGGGUUUCCGCCCCUUAGUGCUGCAGCUAACGCAUUAAGCACUCCGCCUGGGGAGUACGACCGCAAGGUUGAAACUCAAAGGAAUUGACGGGGACCCGCACAAGCGGUGGAGCAUGUGGUUUAAUUCGAAGCAACGCGAAGAACCUUACCAAAUCUUGACAUCCUUUGACAACUCUAGAGAUAGAGCCUUCCCCUUCGGGGGACAAAGUGACAGGUGGUGCAUGGUUGUCGUCAGCUUGUGUCGUGAGAUGUUGGGUUAAGUCCCGCAACGAGCGCAACCCUUAAGCUUAGUUGCCAUCAUUAAGUUGGGCACUCUAAGUUGACUGCCGGUGACAAACCGGAGGAAGGUGGGGAUGACGUCAAAUCAUCAUGCCCCUUAUGAUUUGGGCUACACACGUGCUACAAUGGACAAUACAAAGGGCAGCGAAACCGCGAGGUCAAGCAAAUCCCAUAAAGUUGUUCUCAGUUCGGAUUGUAGUCUGCAACUCGACUACAUGAAGCUGGAAUCGCUAGUAAUCGUAGAUCAGCAUGCUACGGAGAAUACGUUCCCGGGUCU